AGUCGAGCGGACAGAAGGGAGCUUGCUCCCGGAUGUUAGCGGCGGACGGGUGAGUAACACGUGGGUAACCUGCCUGUAAGACUGGGAUAACUCCGGGAAACCGGAGCUAAUACCGGAUAGUUCCUUGAACCGCAUGGUUCAAGGAUGAAAGACGGUUUCGGCUGUCACUUACAGAUGGACCCGCGGCGCAUUAGCUAGUUGGUGAGGUAACGGCUCACCAAGGCGACGAUGCGUAGCCGACCUGAGAGGGUGAUCGGCCACACUGGGACUGAGACACGGCCCAGACUCCUACGGGAGGCAGCAGUAGGGAAUCUUCCGCAAUGGACGAAAGUCUGACGGAGCAACGCCGCGUGAGUGAUGAAGGUUUUCGGAUCGUAAAGCUCUGUUGUUAGGGAAGAACAAGUGCAAGAGUAACUGCUUGCACCUUGACGGUACCUAACCAGAAAGCCACGGCUAACUACGUGCCAGCAGCCGCGGUAAUACGUAGGUGGCAAGCGUUGUCCGGAAUUAUUGGGCGUAAAGGGCUCGCAGGCGGUUUCUUAAGUCUGAUGUGAAAGCCCCCGGCUCAACCGGGGAGGGUCAUUGGAAACUGGGAAACUUGAGUGCAGAAGAGGAGAGUGGAAUUCCACGUGUAGCGGUGAAAUGCGUAGAGAUGUGGAGGAACACCAGUGGCGAAGGCGACUCUCUGGUCUGUAACUGACGCUGAGGAGCGAAAGCGUGGGGAGCGAACAGGAUUAGAUACCCUGGUAGUCCACGCCGUAAACGAUGAGUGCUAAGUGUUAGGGGGUUUCCGCCCCUUUAGUGCUGCAGCUAACGCAUUAAG
rnacentral:rRNA from 2 species